rnacentral:misc_RNA from 1 species
GCUUACCCUGUCGUGACUAACCUCAGAGCUGUUGUGAACAAUGGCGACGUUUCGAGGAAAGUGACAUUCUAACGAACAAAUGUGUUUUUACACUUUAACGUUAAUCUUCUUUUGUAGAUAUUAAUUACACUUGUUAGGUGUUAGAUCGACGAGAAUCUGUGUUUUAUGAUGGCUUUGAACGCUAAUGCACUAUCCAGUGACAUAAGCCGAAGAAACCCUCAGGAUGAGUACGAGCUCAUUCAAAGAAUAGGUAGUGGAACGUACGGAGAUGUUUACAAGGCCAAAAGACUUUCCAUGAAUGACCUCGCUGCGAUUAAGGUUAUCAAGUUGGAACCAGGAGAUGAUUUUGCAAUUAUUCAGCAGGAAAUUUUAAUGAUGAAAGAUUGUAGACAUCCUAACAUAAUUGCGUAUUAUGGAAGUUAUUUAAGAAGGGAUAAAUUAUGGAUAUGUAUGGAAUAUUGUGGAGGUGGUUCCUUGCAAGAUAUAUAUCACAUAACUGGACCAUUAACAGAGAUACAAAUAGCAUAUAUGUGUAGAGAGACUCUUCUAGGAUUGGCUUAUUUACAUAGCAUGGGAAAAAUGCAUCGUGAUAUUAAAGGUGCCAAUAUAUUAUUAACUGAAGCUGGUGAUGUCAAAUUGGCUGAUUUUGGAGUGUCUGCGCAAAUUACUGCAACUAUUAAUAAAAGAAAGAGUUUUAUUGGUACUCCUUACUGGAUGGCACCUGAGGUUGCAGCUGUAGAAAGAAAGGGCGGUUACAAUCAACUUUGUGAUAUUUGGGCAUGUGGGAUCACUGCAAUAGAGUUAGCUGAAUUACAACCACCUAUGUUUGAUUUACAUCCAAUGCGUGCACUUUUUCUUAUGUCUAAAUCUGGCUUCAAACCGCCAACGUUAAAAGAUCGCGAUAAAUGGAGCCCAACGUUUCAUAAUUUUGUUAAAGUUGCUCUCACCAAAAAUCCUAAAAAACGACCAACAGCCGAAAAAUUACUGCAGCACGCAUUUUUUCAAGGAGAAAUGAGCAAACGUUUAGCCUUGGAGUUGUUGCAAAAGGUAUCAAACCCUAGUCAUAUGUUUACUGAUUUAGAAGCCGAUGAAGAUGGAGCUGUACCCAAUGUACCACAAAGGAUAGCCUCACGUCAUACUGCAAGACCUAGACCAAAAAGUCCUAUACCGCAAUUAGAUAGUGAUGAUCAGAUUAAUAUUGAUGGGACAUUACAAAGAGACAUAAUAUCACCAUCAGUAGAUACUAACCCAGCUUGGGAUAUUAUGGAUAUCAUGAAUAAUGUAAAGGGCGUUCAUAAUUGUGAUGUUCAUCCAGAUUGUGGUAUUGGUACUGCAUUUGAAGAUGUACAGGAAAAGAGUCUAUUGCAGUACAUUGAUGAGGAGUUGUUGCUAAGGUAUUGGCAGUUUCAUGUGUGCAGGGGGAAUGCAAUGUCAAUGGUUGGUGGUCAUUGUGACCAGCUAUAUUCCCUGCAAGCAACGCUCCCUCUUGGAGAAUCAUCAAAUGAUUGUGAAGUGCAUUGUCCGUACUAUAACAUGUCAGGAUCUCAAGCAAGUCCCAGGCGUCACAGCUCUGUGGACGAGUUGUAUGGUUUGGUGAGCAGUACCCAGUCUUUAGCCGCUGUCAAUGGACAACGUCAACGGUCUCUGUCGGACAGUUGUCCUAGAGAUGAAUCCCCACAGUCUAAUGGUCAGAAUGAAACACCAAGCGAUGGAGAUAGAGAAAGUAUGAGUCCAGAUUUGUUGUCUGAUACUCCACCUGUUCCUCCAAGAAGAAGGGACAGAAAGCGCCACACACCACCCAGACCUAUCAGCAAUGGACUGCCACCCACACCCAAAGUUCACAUGGGUGCAUGUUUUUCAAAAGUAUUCAAUGGAUGUCCAUUGAGAAUACAUUGUACUGCGAGCUGGAUUCAUCCAGACACAAGAGAUCAGCAUCUACUAAUUGCAGCGGAAGAAGGAAUUUAUAACUUAAACCUAAACGAACUUCAUGAAACUGCAAUUGAUCAAUUGUAUCCAAGACGUACAAUAUGGAUGUACGUCAUUAAGGAUGUGCUCAUGUCUUUAUCUGGAAAAACCCCUCAAUUAUAUAGGCAUGAUUUAUUAGCCAUGCAAAGCAAACAAAGCCAUAGGUUUUCAUUGCACAUGAACAAAAUACCUGAGAGAUUAGUACCUAGGAAGUUUGCUCUUACCACUAAAGUCCCAGAUACAAAGGGCUGUACUAAAUGUUGCGUUGGUAGAAAUCCAUACAAUGGGUAUAAAUAUCUCUGUGGUGCAAUGCCAACGGGAAUAUUUUUAAUGCAGUGGUACGAUCCACUUAAUAAAUUUAUGCUUUUGAAACAUUUCGAUUGCAUACUACCGACGCCAUUAAAUGUAUUCGAAAUUAUUAUCACGCCGGAAAUGGAAUAUCCAAUGGUGUGUGUAUCCGUAAAGCAACCAUAUCAACAGAACAAAUUAAAAUUGGAUUUAAUAAACAUGAAUUCAGGAGCAAGUUGGUUUCACAGCGACGAACUGGAAGAUAUGGAUGGUUCAGCUACUGUGAUACCAAGAAGAGAAAACCUUCAUGUUAUUAAUGUUACACAACUAGAGAAAAAUGCAAUAUUAGUGUGUUAUGAUAAUGUAGUAAAAGUAGUCACGUUACAAGGAAGACCGAGGUCAAGCAGAAAGCACAUGUCAGAAUUACACUUUAACUUUCAAAUUGAAUCAAUCAUCUGUUUACCAGAUAGCGUACUAGCAUUCCACAAGCAUGGUAUGCAAGGUAGAAGUUUUAAAAAUGGCGAAGUCACGCAAGAAAUCAGUGAUCCAAGUAGAACGUACAGAUUACUUGGAUCUGAUAAAGUUGUGAUGCUGGAGAGCCAUUUGGUUCAAUCAGGCACACUAUCCGAAUCUGAAGGAGCGGACUUGUACAUACUUGCUGGGCACGAAGCCAGUUACUAAGUUUAUCUUCCAACUAUAAAUUGUGCAGACAUAUUGUGUCGCAAGUGAAUUGUGAUUUCCAAUGACUGCGUGUAAAGUAAAAAUGUGACUGUACUGAGAGGCAGUGGUUGAUGUUGUGAUGUUAUAAAUAAUUACAGUGCAACGUUACCUGGCAAAUUUUUGUAUUAUUGUAAUGACAAUAAUUUCAUUCAUGGUAUCGGAUAUACAUCUUAAAAAGUAUUUAAAUAUAUAUUGGCUAAAUCCAAAGGAAGAAUACUUACAAAUGACAACAGCUGAAAUAAAAAAGUAUGGGAAGAAGAAAACAAAGAAUAAUUAUAUGUAUACUGUAUCACAGACCAAUUAUUAGAAGACAAAAUUUAGUAGAGAAACACCAGGAACUCAGAAACAUUUUACAUGCAGAUUUUACAUAUCCAUACUCUAAUUAUGACCACAAAAUUUUAAAUAUACCUCUGAGAGUGUUUCGUUGAAUGUAGUGCAUAGCUGAAAAUACUUAAUUUUUAUUGUAUCUUCAUGUAUAUGUAUAGUGUGUGAAUUGAACUGUCAGUAUAUGAGAUUUAAAGUAAUAAUUGCAUAAAUAAAGUUUAUAUUUAUAUACAUUGACAAUUUCAAUGCAAGUAAGCAAUAUUUUUAAUGCCUCACACAAUAAUUAUAUAUUGUGAUCAAACACAGUGAACACAAAUUAGAAUAAUAAUUUCAUAUUUUUUAUGUUACAAACUUUACAUAUUAUAUUUUAAAAAUAACAAUAUCUUAUUUAAUUCACACACAUACACAAAAUGUAGAUUCCCAUAGUGUAGGACAAAUAGUACAGCGAUAACAUGUACCUGUCCGUAUUGACCAGAUCAGUGGCUUUGCCCUUACAAAUGAAAACUAUAAAAUUUGUCUGAUAAAAUUAUAGGAUUAUGUUCAUAAAAUUAUAAAAGACAAAUUUGUUUAUUAUCGUGUUUUAAAUUUAUUAAAAGAUAAAGGUAUGAAUAAUUUAAAUGGAAAAGUAAAAGAAGGAAAUGGUGUUCUUUUUAAAAUAAAAUUCAGUAAUGAACAGAUUUGUUUCUUGUAAGAAUGAAUUCCUAUAAUAUUCAAUUAUCAUUUGUUUCUAUUUAAUCCUGAAAGUGACUAUAAUGAAACUGUUGUAUCAGGUUGUUUUUAUUUUCUGUCUUACAUAGAAUUAAUCAAUGAAACGGGUAAUAUUAUUGUUUGUCUUUUGGAAACAACAGAGUCGCUUUCAGGAUUUUCCACAGGUGCUGUUUGAUUAUUGUUAAAUCAAAAUCAACCGAUUCGACGUUUUUAUUCAGCUAUGUAUUAUGUUUUUUGUUUUAAUGAAAGUGUACGCGUGUGCGUAAAAACAGAAUAUUUUAAGAGACAAGAUCAUAUUGUAAAAAUGAUGAAGCGAUUUAGAGAGAAUGAGACAAAGAGAUACGAAAAACAGAGAGAUAUAUAUAUAUUAAGUAUAAAUAUAUAUAUUAUAUAUUUAAUAAAAAUUCUUCGAGGGAGGACAGCGAAUGUAAGUUCAAAGAAAAUUAGCGUGAAUAAUCGCAACGGGGAAACUAUAAAGAUUGUCAAUAUGUUAAUAGUGCGUUAUUAACCAAAGCUUUAGCUGCGAAUAGAAACGACGAUUUAACUAUUCUUGCAAGUGGAACCACUGAAAGAGCAUACCUUUGUCGUAAAGAUGAAUUGUAGGUUUAAAGAGUUUCUUGACUAGGUGUUGUAAAGAAAAGAAUAAUAACAACAUAUUUCUUGUUGUGCAUAAUAGAGUUCACAGAAGGCAACUGUAGUUAUACGAAUGAUCUACGACCAAUUAAUCAUCAUAUUGACCCACAGCGAUGAAAAAUAAAUCAAAUUGUUUGUUUCGCAGUAAAUAUGAUGAUGUCAUUGCAGAUCAUUUAUGAUUGAGAACAAAUGUAGCGUAGAGCAAAAUGUAUGUAACAUUUUGUACAAAAAUGGACCAGUUGCUUUGCGUUAUGUUUUGUAUAAUAGACUUCUGUCGUACAACACCUGUCACAGAAACUCAGUAAACAAGAUAUGAACCUUAAUUUAUUCUCUAUAUUUAAUAUUCGUAAUCGAAACUAAUGAUUAAUCAGAAGAUUCCUUCUGAUUAGAGGGCAGACUCUAAUUCAAGAUAAUACUAUGAUUAAGUGUAUCAUAUAGUUACUACGAUUGUAUAUAAUGUGUAUAAUGAAUGAUCCUUUUUUUUUAGUUUUACGAGCUUCUCACCUUUAGUCAUUUUUUGUUUCAUUUUCUUUUAUAUACAUACAGUAUUGCGUAGUUAACUUAUGAACAAUGUAUAUCAUUUACUCUUGUAUCUGUAAACACGACUAGCUGAAAACCUCUUGUAAAUAGACAUUUCUCUUAAUAAAAAACCUACCUGAAGUAA